GUGAACGUAGCUCAACCUGGUAGAGCAUUAGCCUGUGGAGCUAAUGGUUGGGGGUUCAAAUCCCCUCGUUCACC
rnacentral:tRNA from 1 species